rnacentral:rRNA from 1 species
UACGGGAGGCAGCAGGGGGAAUAUUGCACAAUGGGCGCAAGCCUGAUGCAGCCAUGCCGCGUGUAUGAAAAAGGCCUUCGGGUUGUAAAGUACUUUCAGUCGUGAGGAAGGUGUUAAGGUUAAUAACCUUAGCAAUUGACGUUAGCGACAGAAGAAGCACCGGCUAACUCCGUGCCAGCAGCCGCGGUAAUACGGAGGGUGCGAGCGUUAAUCGGAAUUACUGGGCGUAAAGGGCACGCAGGCGGUUAAUUAAGUUGGAUGUGAAAUCCCCGGGCUUAACCUGGGAAUGGCAUUCAAGACUGGUUAGCUAGAGUCUUGUAGAGGGGGUAGAAUUCCAUGUGUAGCGGUGAAAUGCGUAGAGAUGUGGAGGAAUACCGGUGGCGAAGGCGGCCCCUGGACAAAGACUGACGCUCAUGUGCGAAAGCGUGGGGAGCAAAACAGGGAUUAGAUACC